UGGGGAAUUUUGGACAAUGGGCGAAAGCCUGAUCCAGCAAUGCCGCGUGUGUGAAGAAGGCCUUCGGGUUGUAAAGCACUUUUGUCCGGAAAGAAAUCCUUGGCUCUAAUACAGUCGGGGGAUGACGGUACCGGAAGAAUAAGCACCGGCUAACUACGUGCCAGCAGCCGCGGUAAUACGUAGGGUGCAAGCGUUAAUCGGAAUUACUGGGCGUAAAGCGUGCGCAGGCGGUUUGCUAAGACCGAUGUGAAAUCCCCGGGCUCAACCUGGGAACUGCAUUGGUGACUGGCAGGCUAGAGUAUGGCAGAGGGGGGUAGAAUUCCACGUGUAGCAGUGAAAUGCGUAGAGAUGUGGAGGAAUACCGAUGGCGAAGGCAGCCCCCUGGGCCAAUACUGACGCUCAUGCACGAAAGCGUGGGGGAGCAAACAGGAUUAGAUACCCUGGUAGUCCACGCCCUAAACGAUGUCAACUAGUUGUUGGGGAUUCAUUCCUUAGUAACGUAGCUAACGCGUGAAGUUGACCGCCUGGGGAGUACGGUCGCAAGAUUAAAACUCAAAUGAAUUGACGGGAUCAUAGCUGUUUCCU
rnacentral:rRNA from 1 species